UACGAAGGGGGCUAGCGUUGCUCGGAAUUACUGGGCGUAAAGCGCACGUAGGCGGCUUUCUAAGUCGGGGGUGAAAUCCUGGAGCUCAACUCCAGAACUGCCUUCGAUACUGGAGAGCUCGAGUCCGGAAGAGGUGAGUGGAACUGCGAGUGUAGAGGUGAAAUUCGUAGAUAUUCGCAAGAACACCAGUGGCGAAAGGCGGCUCACUGGCCCGGUACUGACGCUGAGGUGCGAAAGCGUGGGGAGCAAACAGG
rnacentral:rRNA from 1 species